rnacentral:rRNA from 1 species
GACGAACCACACAAACGUUAUUCGGAAUUACUGGGCAUAAAGGGUGCGUAGGCGGCUUGUUAAGUCAGGGGUGAAAGUUUUCGGCCCAACCGGAAAAUUGCCUUUGAUACUGGCGAGCUCGAGUGCGUGAGGGGUAACCGGAACGAGCAGUGUAGCGGUGAAAUGCGUAGAUAUUGCUCGGAAGGCCAACGGCGAAGGCAGGUUACUGGUACGCAACUGACGCUGAGGCACGAAAGCGUGGGGAGCAAACAGG